rnacentral:lncRNA from 1 species
ACUGAACCAGGUGCUCCACAGGGCGCAGCUUUAUACGACCGCAGAGGUCGAACCCUGAACAGUUGGGGCAAGUAUGGACAAAACAUUCAAGCUUGAUUCAGCUCUGAAUUUGGAUUGUGAUCAAAUUUUUGACAUUAUAUGGGUUUUUUACACAAAAAAAAUGUCAAGAUCUUACAAAUCAAUUAAAGAUUUCUUCUUCAAACUUAUUUAAAUUUAAAAUUAAAUAGUUGACACAGCAUAGGUUUCUGACACAGAAUGAAUGUGGUCUAAUGAACUUAAAUUUUUUUUUGCCUUUGAGCAAUUCACUAUGCUGUUGAAUAUUAAUCCUCACAAAAAAAUGUUUGAAGAAAUUUUCUUUUUAAUUAUGAAAUCUGAAAUGAGAACCAGGUGCUCCGCAGGGCGCAGCUUUAUACGACCGCAGAGGUCGAACCCUGAACAGUUGGGGCAAGUAUGGACAAAACAUUCAAGCGUGAUACAGCUCUGAAUUUGGAUUGUGAUCAAAUUUUUGACAUUACAUGGGUUUUUUUUACACAAAACAAAUGUCAAGAUUUUACAAAUCAAUUAAAGAUUUCUUCUUCAAACUUUUUAAAUCUAAAAUUAAAUAGUUGACACAGAAUGAAUGUGGUCUAAUGAAC